rnacentral:rRNA from 1 species
GACGAACGCUGGCGGCGUGCUUAACACAUGCAAGUCGAACGGAAAGGCCUCUUUCGGGGGGUACUCGAGUGGCGAACGGGUGAGUAACACGUGAGUAACCUGCCCUUGACUUUGGGAUAACUUCAGGAAACUGGGGCUAAUACCGGAUAGGAGCCCCUGCUGCAUGGUGGGGGUUGGAAAGUUUCGGCGGUUGGGGAUGGACUCGCGGCUUAUCAGCUUGUUGGUGGGGUAGUGGCUUACCAAGGCUUUGACGGGUAGCCGGCCUGGGAGGGUGACCGGCCACAUUGGGACUGAGAUACGGCCCAGACUCCUACGGGAGGCAGCAGUGGGGAAGAUUGCACAAUGGGUGGAAGCCUGAUGCAGCAACGCCGUGUGCGGGAUGACGGCCUUCGGGUUGUAAACCGCUUUCGCUCAUGACGAAGCUUUGUGUGACGGUAGUGGGUAAAGAAGCACCGGCUAACUACGUG